rnacentral:rRNA from 1 species
AGUGAACGCUGGCGGCGUGCUUAACACAUGCAAGUCGAACGAGAACGGAAUAUAGCUUGCUAUAUUUGUCAGCUAAGUGGCGCACGGGUGAGUAAUGUAUAGAUAACCUGCCCUUAAGAAAGGAAUAACAGUUGGAAACGACUGCUAAUGCCCUAUAUGCCUUUAAUACAUAAGUAUGCAAGGGAAACGCUUUAGUGCUUAAGGAUGGGUCUGUAUGGUAUCAGCUUGUUGGUGAGGUAAUGGCUCACCAAGGCUAUGACGCCUAACUGGUUUGAGAGGAUGAUCAGUCACACUGGAACUGAGACACGGUCCAGACUCCUACGGGAGGCAGCAGUGGGGAAUAUUGCACAAUGGACGAAAGUCUGAUGCAGCAACGCCGCGUGGAGGAUGACACAUUUCGGUGCGUAAACUCCUUUUAUAUAGGAAGAUAAUGACGGUACUAUAUGAAUAAGCACCGGCUAACUCCGUGCCAGCCGCCGCCGUAACAC